GUCUGGAACCACCUGAUCCCAUCCCGAACUCAGAAGUGAAACAGACCAGCGCCGAUGGUAGUGUGGCGUUGCCCAUGUGAGAGUAGGUCAUCGUCAGGC
rnacentral:rRNA from 2 species